AACGAACGCUGGCGGCAGGCCUAACACAUGCAAGUCGAACGCUCCGCAAGGGGAGUGGCAGACGGGUGAGUAACACGUGGGAAUCUUCCUAUUGGUAUGGAAUAGCUCAGGGAACCUUGGGGUAAUACCGUAUAAGCCCGAGAGGGGAAAGAUUUAUCGCCAAUAGAUGAACCCGCGUCUGAUUAGCUAGUUGGUGAGGUAAUGGCUCACCAAGGCAACGAUCAGUAGCUGGUCUGAGAGGAUGAUCAGCCACACUGGGACUGAGACACGGCCCAGACUCCUACGGGAGGCAGCAGUGGGGAAUAUUGGACAAUGGGCGCAAGCCUGAUCCAGCCAUGCCGCGUGAGUGACGAAGGUCUUCGGGUUGUAAAGCUCUUUUGGCGGGGACGAUAAUGACGGUACCCGCAGAAUAAGCCCCGGCUAACUUCGUGCCAGCAGCCGCGGUAAU
rnacentral:rRNA from 1 species